UCACUCCGCCCGUCUAAGCUCAAGCAGAAGGCCACACCUGAGAUUUCUGGAGAAAGCACUUCUGAGGCUGGUUGGUGCAGCAAAAGGUCAGAUGACUUUGCAGGCCUGAAGGGAUGUGGACCAUGUGUUUUGGUGACUGUUUAUGAUUUGAAGAUUAUUUUCAGGGGUCCAUUUGUGGGUAG